UACGUAGGGGGCGAGCGUUGUCCGGAUUUAUUGGGCGUAAAGAGCUCGUAGGCGGUUUGGCAAGUCGGGUGUGAAAACUCCGGGCUCAACUCGGAGACGCCACUCGAUACUGCCGUGACUCGAGUCCGGUAGGGGAGUGCGGAAUUCCUGGUGUAGCGGUGAAAUGCGCAGAUAUCAGGAGGAACACCGGUGGCGAAGGCGGCACUCUGGGCCGGUACUGACGCUGAGGAGCGAAAGCGUGGGGAGCGAACAGG
rnacentral:rRNA from 1 species